rnacentral:misc_RNA from 1 species
GGAGGCAAUGUUGUUUAUUUAUUUAAAUCAAUGUAAUGUAUUAUAACAUGGACGGCAGAGUACUAUUUUACACUUGGGGCACCACGUUAUCACUUUAGAAGCCUUUGUACCAGCAAGUUUUGAAGAUUGUCCCUCUGAAAUGAGCUUAUUAUAGCAGCCUUUGCAUCGUUUUUUAUUCGUUUUACGACCUGGUUCCUUGGUCAUUUUCUUGAAGGUGUGUUUGUUUUCAGGUAACGACUGCGGGCGUCCAACAUAUGUUUGGUUUUCGUCUCUUACCUUCUACGGCAAUUUUUUUGUACCAAGUUAUCGAUUUUCUUGUAAGACUAUUGUAGCUACUCAACUGAUCCGACACAUCGAUACCUUUUUU